rnacentral:tRNA from 1 species
GCUCCGGUGGUGUAGGCCGGUCAAACAUGAUGGCCUCUCGUGCCCGCGGGGAAAGCCAUCGCCUCGGGUUCAAAUCCCGACCGGAGCACCA